AUACAUAGGGUGCGAGCGUUGUCCGGAAUUACUGGGCGUAAAGAGCUCGUAGGUGGUUUGUCGCGUCGUCUGUGAAAUUCCGGGGCUUAACUCCGGGCGUGCAGGCGAUACGGGCAUAACUUGAGUACUGUAGGGGAGACUGGAAUUCCUGGUGUAGCGGUGAAAUGCGCAGAUAUCAGGGGGAACACCGGUGGCGAAGGCGGGUCUCAGGGGAGUAACUUACGCUGAGGAGCGAAAGCAUGGGUAGCGAACAGGAUUAGAUACCCGGGUAGUCCAUGCUGUAAACGGUGGGCGCUAGGUGUAGGGGUCUUCCACGACUUCUGUGCCGUAGCUAACGCAUUAAGCGCCCCGCCUGGGGAGUACGGCCGCAAGGCUAAAACUCAAAUGAAUUGACGGGG
rnacentral:rRNA from 1 species